CCAUUAGUGCAUUCGUCUCUCCCACCUUUCGCUCCUUUUACAUUCAUUACAGAUUCCCAAAAAACAAAUCUCUCUCUCUUCUUACCUGUCUGCCUUGAGAAAUUGCGUAACUGAUACUGAUGGGUUUUUAAUGGCGUUUGACAGAAAGCAGAAGAGAGAGAGGUUAUGGGUUUUUAAUUCUCUUGCUCCUUUCUCCAUUACUUCCAUGUACUUCUCUCUCUCUCUCUCUCACCUUCUUCGAGGCCGAGAGUCAGAUGAUGCUCCUCCUUAAACCAACCCU